CGUCAGGACGAACGCUGGCGGCGUGCUUAACACAUGCAAGUCGAGCGAUGAAGCUCCUUCGGGAGUGGAUUAGCGGCGGACGGGUGAGUAACACGUGGGUAACCUGCCUCAUAGAGGGGAAUAGCCUUUCGAAAGGAAGAUUAAUACCGCAUAAGAUUGUAGUACCGCAUGGUACAGCAAUUAAAGGAGUAAUCCGCUAUGAGAUGGACCCGCGUCGCAUUAGCUAGUUGGUGAGGUAACGGCUCACCAAGGCGACGAUGCGUAGCCGACCUGAGAGGGUGAUCGGCCACAUUGGGACUGAGACACGGCCCAGACUCCUACGGGAGGCAGCAGUGGGGAAUAUUGCACAAUGGGGGAAACCCUGAUGCAGCAACGCCGCGUGAGUGAUGACGGCCUUCGGGUUGUAAAACUCUGUCUUUGGGGACGAUAAUGACGGUACCCAAGGAGGAAGCCACGGCUAACUACGUGCCAGCCGCUGC
rnacentral:rRNA from 1 species